CUAAAGCGCACGGAAACAUUGGUACAUACGUGGUACUUGUCAGCGGACUUUCAGCUCUUCCUUGUCUCGCUUCUGACGCUCCUGAUGCUUAGAAGACGAAAGCAUCUGGCUCUGGCGGCGUUAGCCACCCUCUCUCUGCUAGGCUGCGCCAUUGCAACAUGGACCAUGGCC
rnacentral:lncRNA from 1 species